CUCCCUUUCCAGAUCCGGCGCCACCACUGCCCCUGCCUCUCUCUCCUUUGGCCGACAGCAGCGGCCCUUGCCGCCCCUCGACAGACAGCAGCAGCCGGUCAGGCUGCCUCCCCCCUUUCACCUCUCCGGCAACAACAGUCUUCACCAACAAUUCUUCCAUUCAUUUCCUUUUCUUUUCUUCUAAUUUCUUACUAUUAUUCUUUUAAUUCUUUCCUUUUCUUUUGAUUUUUCAUGUAAAACAGUAAAAGUGUUGGAGUAUUGCAGAAAAUAGAAUGAUUAUGCUUUGGUGUGUGUGAUUUCUUGGAUGCAAGAGGCUGAAUGUUUUCAUUGCUGAGAUUUUUAGAAAUUGACAGAGUUUCAGA
rnacentral:lncRNA from 1 species